ensembl:lncRNA novel transcript
UCGGUGAGGAAAAGUGUCCUUGCAACAACAAAUGCAUGCUGAAAAAAUAAUGAAUGCAUUGCAGCACAUUGUUAGCAGUCGUUAUUAUGAAGAAAAUGGUUUGCCUCUGUCUUUCGCAAAUAGAACGUACAACACGCUCUGGCCCAGCCACACUCAGUAUCAUCCCAUAGCGGAAAAGAAGGUGAAAAAUUCUGAAAAAAUAUUUGAGUGAGGAAUGCAAACUUUACAGAGGGUCUUUUGGUUGGACGUCAGUGGCACAUCCACAUGCAACACAGGGAAGUUGGAUGUGUACCCAGACAUGAGAAAUACAAGGAAACAAUGCCACAGGGGACUCCUCAGUUUGGUGAGGUGGGGCAAGAAUUCCCCUGCUCCUAACGGUGCAAACCCUAUAUUAAAAGUAGACAAGCCAAGUGAAACCUUUUCACUCAAAUCCGAUCUGA